AGGAAAAUACAGAAACUUGUAUAUACACUUUCCCACGGGAGCCUGGUACUCCGUGGUUGCCAAUAGCAACCUCAUUGGUGGUGUAUGCAGCCUGUUGACUGUAUGGGUUGCCCAAAGGGAUCUUGGGGACAACU
ensembl:snoRNA SNORA70 Small nucleolar RNA SNORA70